rnacentral:lncRNA from 1 species
GGAAAGAGUAACAAUAACUAUAGUUUGCCAAAUAUAGUUUGGAAUGCAAGUGCAUUAAUUUUAUUACUGGACACAGGAUGUCUAAUUUUUUUGUUUAUUUACUUCUUUCCUUCUUCUUAUCCAGACCAAGCAUCAGGGCCUGCAUAUGACACUGCCAAUUUAAAUUGGAUGUGGAAGUGAGAGUUUUAUGUUGAAGGAAUCUGAUUAUGUUACAUAAUACCUUGACUGGGCUGCAUCCUGGCCUUCCUGAAAGCCACUAUUCCUUGAAAGCCUCUACUAUAGCUCUGAAUGCAAGUUGAACCAGCCUUCUUCACUCCAGAUCUUGGUCAGAAGUGAGACAUCACUCAGUCAAGCAGUUCAAAUGGAAUAAGAAACCUGAGAUUUUCAAAUGGGCAUCUGACUGAAGACUUUCCUUUCCUUUCUGGAGGCCACGCUGAAUGAAGGUGAGGCUGGAGGUGCUAAUGGGCAUGGCUCUUAAGAUAUAAAAUGCUGCAAUAUGAAAUGCAGACUAAAUCAAACCCCAAAACUUUU